AGAUACCCUAGUAUUAUAAUGAAAAUCUGGAGUAGUAUAUAAUUGAAAAUUAAUAAGGCUUGGUGGUUAAUCAUUUUUUUAGAGGAGCUUGUUUAUUUAUAAGAAAUUACUCUUUAUAUUUAAUACAUAUAUUGUUUAUUCAUCUCUGUCAUUAGUUUAAUAAUAAAAGAUUUUAUUUUAUAUCUCAGGUCAAGAUGUAGCUUUUAUAAGAAUUAAUUAGCUACAAUUAUGUAAUAUAUGGAUUUUUUGAGGUAUAUUUUUAAUAAAAUUGAAUUUAAUUGUAAUAAUUUUUGGUUAAAAAACUAUUAUGAGAAUUAGGUGGUUUGUAUACAUAUUGCCCGUCACUUCUAAGAUAAAUUAGAAUAAGUCGUAACAAA
rnacentral:rRNA from 1 species